AAUUCAUUCAGCUGCUGAGAUGGGCAGAUAUGAGACCUUCCCCUGGGACCAGUUUCCUGAUUUGACAUAGCAACAUCACCACCAGCUGGCAUGGCCCUGUGGUGCUGUCCAAUGACCUCUCAUGCCACAGAGGUUUCCCUGAUGGUGCAUUAAUGGCUCUGAAGGCAGGAAGAAAUGGACCUCUGGGAAUUAACACGGGGGAAAUUGUGAAAAGCAUGAUUAAAGAUAGAAUGACCAAGCAUAUAGAUGAUCCAGUAUUUCUGAAGAAGACAUAAGCAUGGCUUCCACAAAACCCUGUGAACUGCGUAACAACAUUUUGAUUCUCAACUGCUUCGUCUUUUUGCUGAGCAAUGCUUUGAGAGCCAUCUGCAACGGCAAGCUCCCGACAUACUCAGGCAGAAACUAGGAAGAGGAUGCGGCUGAGGGCGUUGCCUCCUGAGAUGCAGGACCUAAUGGAGUUACAAGACAACGGCAGCAUUCAUUAUCAAGAGUGCCUCAUGUCACAUGCCUCUGAAAGGGUGUGAGGCUUCAGAUAUAAUUGCAGCGAGCAGGGAAAACGAGGGGGGGCUAGGAGGCUUUUCAUGUGAGCCGCACAAUCUGAUGUUGUGAUGACCCCCGGACUUUAAAAAGAGGGUUAAACAAAUUCACCAAGGAUGAGACUAUCAGUGUCUACUAGUAGCCACAAUGGCUAUAUUCUCCUUCCAUUGUUGGAGACCUCUCUGAAUACCAGUUCCUGGGAACUACAAGGAGGGAGAGUUGCUGUUACGCUCAAGUUCUGCUUAUGGGAUUCCCACUGGGGGCAGCUGGUUGUCCACUGUGGGAACAGGAUGCUGGCCUGAUGCAACAACUGGACUCAUCUGAUGUUCUUAACCUCUUUCAAGCGCUCCAGGGCUCAACUGUGGAACCUGAGAGGCCCAAAAGAUGUUUUUUUACAACUAUGUGCCUCAUCAUCAUCACCAUCAUCACUGAACUGUACCUGGAGCUUUAGGAAGAAAAGAGGUACUGCAUGACAGGCAUAAAUCUGACACAUUCAGUGUAAACAUGCGCACACAGAGAAACCGUUGCUUCACCUCUAGGCCAAUUUUCCACCCGAAACUCAAUGUUUUCAGUAAUCUCUUUUCUAAAGAAAAGGAAAAAAUCAGCCAGAAAUAUAUGCCACUCCUGAUUUCAAAGGUCACACCCUAAUCUC